rnacentral:lncRNA from 1 species
UCGCAAAUUUUGUAUUCUGUAGUGCACGUAUCCCUGUGGCCAAAAAUUUAUAUGAUGAACCGAUCGUCCCUAGAGUAAGUGGCAAAAGGCUUGGUGGUUGGUAUCCGAGAUUCAAGUUCGAAUCCUAGUUGAUUCACAUUUACAGCUAAAUUUAUUUCUAAAUGAAAUAAACGAAUCGAGUAGCGUGCUACCUAUCUCUCAAAAAUAAAAAAAAAAAUUAAAUGAUGAGUAAUGCUAUGAGUACCGCAACAAAGAUACACAGAAUUAUAAAGGAUGUAUCUUUGCAUUGUAAAUAUAUAGAUGGUUUGAAGGAUUGUUUGAUCUUAUCGGAGAAUUUGUAGUAUUGUUAUGUAUAAUACGGUUUUGAAUAAUAUUAUUAAAAAAAAUACUAUAU